AGCGAACGUUUGCGGCGGGCCUAACACAUGCAAGUCGAACGGGCUAGCAAUAGUCAGUGGCGCACGGGUGCGUAACACGUGGGUAAUCAACCCUUCAGCUCGGGAUAACGCCUUGAAAGGGGCGCUAAUACCGGAUACGACGCGAGGAGCUUCGGCUGCUUGCGGGAAAGAUUCGCAAGGAUCUCUGAAGGACGAGCCUGCGGCCCAUCAGCUAGUUGGUGAGGUAAGAGCUCACCAAGGCGAAGACGGGUAGCUGGUCUGAGAGGAUGAUCAGCCACACUGGAACUGAGACACGGUCCAGACUCCUACGGGAGGCAGCAGUGGGGAAUAUUGCGCAAUGGGCGAAAGCCUGACGCAGCCACGCCGCGUGAGCGAUGAAGGCCU
rnacentral:rRNA from 1 species